UACGGGGGGGGCAAGCGUUGUUCGGAAUUACUGGGCGUAAAGGGCUCGUAGGCGGCCAACUAAGUCAGACGUGAAAUCCCUCGGCUUAACCGGGGAACUGCAUCUGAUACUGGAUGGCUUGAGUUCGGGAGAGGGAUGUGGAAUUCCAGGUGUAGCGGUGAAAUGCGUAGAUAUCUGGAGGAAUACCGGUGGCGAAGGCGGCAUCCUGGACCGACAUUGACGCUGAUGAGCGAAAGCUAGGGGAGCAAACGGG
rnacentral:rRNA from 1 species